AUGGCUGCCGAAAACAAGCCGGAAGGACUGAAGAAAGUUCGUAAUCCGGAUCGAAUGUACAGAUCAGCAGUGUGUUAUGCUGGCCAUGGUCCACCUAAGAAUAUCAGUGAUGACACAGAGACGAACAAUGAACAUGGACAUUUGAAAAUAUACCUGCCCAAGAAGCUGCUUGAAUGUCUACCAAAAUGCACGUCGCUGCCAAAGGAGAGACACCGGUGGAACACUAAUGAGGAGAUCGCGGCUUACUUGAUAACAUUUGAAAAGCAUGAAGAAUGGCUAACGACAUCCCCUAAAACAAGGCCGCAGAAUGGGUCGAUGAUACUGUACAAUAGGAAGAAGGUGAAGUACAGAAAGGAUGGCUACUGCUGGAAGAAGAGGAAAGAUGGGAAGACCACACGGGAGGAUCACAUGAAGUUGAAAGUGCAGGGAGUUGAGUGUCUGUAUGGCUGCUACGUCCACUCCUCCAUCAUCCCUACCUUCCACCGUAGGUGCUACUGGCUUCUCCAGAACCCUGAUAUUGUGCUCGUCCACUAUUUGAAUGUUCCAGCGAUCGAGGAUUGUGGGAAACCAUGUGGACCUAUCCUGUGUUCCAUCAAUACAGACAAGAAAGAGUGGGCCAAGUGGACCAAGGAGGAACUGAUCGGCCAGCUCAAACCCAUGUUUCAUGGCAUCAAGUGGACUUGCAGCAAUGGGAACAGCAGCUCUGGCUUCUCAGUGGAGCAGCUAGUGCAACAGAUUCUGGACAGCCACCAAACUAAGCCACCUCCCCGGACUCACAACUGCCUCUGCACGGGCACCCUGGGUGCAGGAAGCAGUGUGCACCACAAAUGCAACAGUGCCAAACACCGCAUUAUCUCCCCAAAAGUGGACCCCCGCUCAGGGGGAUACAGCAGUGCCCACUCAGAGGUACAGAACAACGAUGUGUCUGAGGGGAAGACAGAGCACAGUGCCCAUGGGGGUAGCACCAGGGAGAAACGCAAUGGCAAAGUCCACAAGCCUGUCCUGCUACACCAGAACAGCACAGAGGUGUCAUCUACAAACCAGGUUGAGGUCCCUGACACCACCCAGAACUCACCUGUCUCCAUCAGCAGCGGCCUCAACAGCGAUCCGGACAUGGCUGAUAGCCCUGUGGUGACAGGGAUGAGUCAUGUGGCCUCUGUCAUGUCUGGCCUGUCUCAGAGUGUCUUUAUGUCUGAGGUCCCUGGAGACCCUGUCUACAGCAUGUCUCCUACUGGGGGUCCAAAUACUCACCUCAUGGGUGCAGAUGCCACUUCACAGGGCCUGGUGCUGUCUGUGACCUCUGAUCGUCACAAAUUUGCUUUCCCCAGUGGAGGUGUAGGAGAACCUGGGACUACCACUGCAGGAGACAGUCUUUCCAUGUUGUCUACAGCUGGGGUGUCUGAGGAACUGGUGCUCUCCAGCAGUCUGGACUCGGGAACCAUCAAGAUCCCAGAAACUAAUAUGAACUUUGAUCCCGACUGCUUCCUGAACAACCCCAAACAAGGCCAGACCUAUGGAGGCAGCGCAAUGAAGACAGAGGGAAACUCCUCCACCUCGUCUUCCUCUGGUGGCGCUCUCGUAAAGAACAUCAAAACGGAAGAUACAUCAUUUGAACAGCAGCUGGCCAAGGAGAGUGGCUACCAGGUGGGGGGCAGCCUCAGUCUGACAGCCACGGGCUCCCUGCUUCCAUCUGGAGGUGGUUUGAGUCCCAGCACUACCUUGGAGCAAAUGGAUUUCAGUGCCAUCGAUGCCAAGCAAGACUAUACGUCCAGCACUACCACAGUGAGCUAUGGUCAAGCCAUGUCCAGUCCUCACAUGCAACAUCAGAAUCGUUCACCCAGCUUCUUCCUCCAGGAUGCAUCUCAGACCAACUCACCUGGCAGUAAUGGCUCACCCACAGAAGGGCCUGGCCAGGCUGGCUCCCUCCAGCUGCUACAAUACCAGGGGACCUUUCCUGGGCUGGGCACUGAGCAUGAGGAGGUGGUUGGUGCGGGUGAAGGGGUCGGUCUGGGUGGAGCGGCCAGUAACGGAGGAGCAGGAGGGACAGGCAUGGAGAUAAGUCUGGAUCACUUUGACAUCUCUUUUGGAAACCAGUUUUCUGACCUCAUUAAUGACUUCAUCUCAGUGGAUGGUAGUGGAACAGCCAUGUCAGCUGGAGGGACCUUAUAUGCUCACCAGCUUGUCACAUCUCACAACUCAGAUAACCAGACCACAGCUGGUGGACCCCCACAGCAGGGCCAGGAAGAUGGAGGAGCCAGGGGCUCUGGUUACAGCCCCUCGGAGCUCUGCCUCCAACCCUGCUGCAGCCCCCAGUCUUUAAGUGGAGGGGCCAGUGCAGGAGGAGGCACAGGAGAGACAGGCUCAUUGUCCUACAUGAAUGUAGCAGAGGUGGUUUCUGCAGCUGUAGCCCAGGGUGCUCUGGGGAUGCUCCAGGCCACAGGCCGUCUUUUCAUGGUCACUGACUACUCCCCUGAGUGGUCCUACCCUGAGGGUGGAGUUAAGGUGCUGAUCACUGGGCCAUGGCAAGAGGCCACCUCAAAUUACAGCUGUUUGUUUGACCAGAUCUCAGUUCCAGCUUCUCUUAUCCAGCCAGGGGUGCUGCGUUGUUACUGCCCAGCUCAUGAUACAGGUCUGGUGACACUACAGGUGGCUGUCAGUAACCAGAUCAUCUCCAAUUCAGUGGUGUUUGAGUAUAAGGCCCGCGCACUUCCUUCACUGCCAUCAUCUCAGCACGACUGGCUUUCUCUGGAUGAUAACCAGUUCAGAAUGUCUAUCCUGGAGCGCUUGGAGCAGAUGGAGAGGAGGAUGGCAGAGAUGGCCAGCCACCAGCAAACGAGCGGUGCAGGGAGUGGGGGAGGAGGUGGUGGUGGAGGAGCUGGAGGUGGAGGCAACAAUAGCCAGUCACAGUGUGUAUCUGGCCAAACGCAAGCCAGCAGCUCCUUUGAGAGCCGUGUUGUGGUGGUCUGCGAGAAGAUGAUGAGCAGAGCUUGCUGGGCCAAGUCCAAGCAUUUAAUCCACUCCAAGACCUUCAGAGGCAUGACACUCCUUCAUCUGGCUGCAGGCCAGGGCUACGCCACCCUCAUCCAGACACUCAUCAAGUGGCGUACAAAGCAUGCUGAUAGUAUUGAUUUGGAGUUAGAAGUGGACCCUCUCAAUGUGGAUCACUUCUCGUGCACACCUCUGAUGUGGGCCUGUGCGCUGGGUCACCUGGAGGCAGCGGUGGUACUAUACAAAUGGGACAGACGUGCCCUAGCUAUCCCAGAUUCUCUAGGCCGCUUACCCCUGUCAAUUGCCCGCUCACGUGGCCAUACCAAAUUGGCAGAGUGUCUGGAGCAGUUACAGAGGGAAGAGCAGCAACCGCCAGCCCCUCUACCACCUACAACUCGCAUGUCUUUUUCCCCAGCCCCUGAUGCCCCCACCACAGACAGCUGGAUGGUCAGCUGGGCAAACACCAGUGUAGUAGCACCAAGUGGCAAGAAAGGAUGUCCUGCCACCACAACAACCACACCCAACUUGAGAAGGCCAAGGUCAGAACCCUCCAACUACUACAGCAGCGAGGGCCAAAGAGACCUCCCACUAGCUAAAAAACAUAAACCCAACCCAGAACUGUUUCAAACUCGGCCUGACAAGGCCAUGUCUGUUCCUUUGAGCCUGGAGCAGCAACAGCUGCAUAAGCUGUCCUCGAGUACUAAGAGCCUGUCCUCAGAAGUCCUGAGCUCAGACAAAGGACUGUCUACUGGAGGCAGCACAGGGACAGCAAGAUGGACCUCCAGAGAGAGUUUCUCCAGCAGCAGCAACUUGGGAAGGAAGGCGCUGGGUGUCAGUGGAGGCAGCAGCUUGGGGAAGGAGAAACUGGCCAACCGGUUACGGCAGCGGGAACAGUUAGGGAUGCUAGUGAUGUCAGAAAGUGAAAUGGCUGAUUCAGAGCUGCUAUCAUAUCGGGAGGAUCUAGAGAACCAGGACUGCCUCACACAGAUGGAUGACCUGCAGGUAAAUAUGAUGACUCUGGCUGAGCACAUAAUUGAAGCAACACCAGAGAGAAUCAAAAGGGAGAACUUCACCGCUGCAGACUCUGUGCCCUUAGACACAUCAGGGGUCAGCAACACCAUGAACUGGCUGGCCAACUACCUGGGAGACGUAGAACAGCUGCCAAGCAUCAUACAUCUACGAUCUCUGUAUAAUGAACCCCUGACCCCAUCAUCUAACCCCAGUUUGAGCCCCGGAGGGUCUCCGUUGAGAGAGGGCCCCCUGGAAAGGUCAACACUUCCUUCCCCAGCUGACUGGAGUGAGUUCAUCAAUGCCUCCAACAGCAAAGUGGAGCGAGACCUGGCCCAGCUGACUCUGUCAGAUCCAGAGCAGAGAGAGCUAUAUGAGGCGGCCCGCCUAGUCCAAACUGCCUUCCGCAAGUACAAGGGGCGGCCGCUCAGAGAGCAACAAGAGGUAGCUGCUGCUGUUAUACAACGUUGUUACAAGAAGUACAAACAGUAUGCACUUUAUAAGAAGAUGACGCAGGCCGCCAUCCUUAUCCAGAGUAAAUUCCGCAGCUACCACGAACAGAAGAAGUUCCAGCAGAGCAAGAGGGCUGCCGUGCUCAUUCAGCAAUACUACCGCAGCUACAAGGAGUUUGGCAGGCUGAAGCCACACCACCGUGGGGCUGCUGCUGCUCUGGUGCAGCACAAACUAAGAAGUAGUCUGCUCACAAAGAGGCAGGAUCAGGCUGCCAGGAAGAUUAUGAGGUUCCUACGACGUUGUCGCCACAGGUAG
ensembl:lncRNA